GUCCAGAUGGCUCAGUGGUCAGAGCAUCUGCCUAAUAAGCAGGAGACCCGGUUUCAAAUUCCGGUGUGGCACA